CGGAUUGUAGGCUGCAACUCGCCUACAUGAAGUCGGAAUCGCUAGUAAUCGCGGAUCAGCAUGCCGCGGUGAAUACGUUCCCGGGCCUUGUACNCACCGCCCGUCACACCAUGAGAGUCGGGAACACCCGAAGUCCGUAGUCUAACCGCAAGGGGGGCGCGGCCGAAGGUGGGUCCGGUAAUUGGGGUGAAGUCGUAACAAGGUACC
rnacentral:rRNA from 1 species